rnacentral:rRNA from 1 species
UGCCAGCCGCCGCGGUAAUACGGAGUGUGCAAGCGUUGUUCGGAAUCACUGGGCGUAAAGCGCGCGUAGGCGGCAAGGUAAGUCGACUGUGAAAGCCCAUAGCUCAACUAUGGAAGUGCAGUCGAUACUGGCAAGCUCGAGUCCCGGAGAGGAUGAUGGAAUUCCCAGUGUAGAGGUGAAAUUCGUAGAUAUUGGGAGGAACACCGGUGGCGAAGGCGGUUUCCUAGUUUAUUCCUGACACUGAAGCGCGAAAGCAAGGGGAGCAAACAGGAUUAGAUA